GAUGAACGCUGGCGGCGUGCCUAAUACAUGCAAGUCGAGCGAACAGACGAGGAGCUUGCUCCUCUGACGUUAGCGGCGGACGGGUGAGUAACACGUGGAUAACCUACCUAUAAGACUGGGAUAACUUCGGGAAACCGGAGCUAAUACCGGAUAAUAUAUUGAACCGCAUGGUUCAAUAGUGAAAGAGGGUUUUGCUGUCACUUAGAGAUGGAUCCGCGCCGCAUUAGCUAGUUGGUAAGGUAACGGCUUACCAAGGCAACGAUGCGUAGCCGACCUGAGAGGGUGAUCGCGCACAAUGGAACUGAGACACGGUCCAGACUCCUACGGGAGGCAGCAGUAGGGAAUCUUACGCAAUGGGCGAAAGACUGACGGAGCAACGCCGCGUGAGUGAUGAAGGUCUUCGGAUCGUAAAACUCUGUUAUUAGGGAAGAACAAAUGUGUAAGUAACUAUGCACGUCUUGACGGUACCUAAUCAGAAAGCCACGGCUAACCACGUG
rnacentral:rRNA from 1 species